rnacentral:rRNA from 1 species
GAUGAACGCUGGCGGCGUGCUUAACACAUGCAAGUCGAACGGUGAACGAGGGAGCUUGCUCCCUCCGGAUCAGUGGCGAACGGGUGAGUAACACGUGAGCAAUCUGCCCUGGACUCUGGGAUAAGCGUUGGAAACGACGUCUAAUACCGGAUACGAGGCGUGGGGGCAUCCCCAACGCCUGGAAAGAACUUCGGUCCAGGAUGAGCUCGCGGCCUAUCAGCUUGUUGGUGAGGUAACGGCUCACCAAGGCGACGACGGGUAGCCGGCCUGGGAGGGUGACCGGCCACACUGGGACUGAGACACGGCCCAGACUCCUACGAGAGGCAGCAGUGGGGAAUAUUGCACAAUGGGCGCAAGCCUGAUGCAGCAACGCCGCGUGAGGGACGACGGCCUUCGGGUUGUAAACCUCUUUUAGCAGGGAAGAAGCGAAAGUGACGGUACCUGCAGAAAAAGCACCGGCUAACUACGUGCCAGCCGCCGCCGUAACAC